rnacentral:rRNA from 1 species
AGAGCGAACGCUGGCGGCAGGCCUAAUACAUGCAAGUCGAACGGACCCUUCGGGGUUAGUGGCGGACGGGUGAGUAACACGUGGGAACGUGCCCUUUGGUUCGGAACAACUCAGGGAAACUUGAGCUAAUACCGGAUGUGCCCUUCGGGGGAAAGAUUUAUCGCCAUUGGAGCGGCCCGCGUCUGAUUAGCUAGUUGGUGGGGUAAAGCCCACCAAGGCUACGAUCAGUAGCUGGUCUGAGAGGAUGAUCAGCCACACUGGGACUGAGACACGGCCCAGACUCCUACGGGAGGCAGCAGUAGGGAAUCUUGCGCAAUGGGCGAAAGCCUGACGCAGCCAUGCCGCGUGAAUGAUGAAGGUCUUAGGAUUGUAAAAUUCUUCAGCGGGGACGAUAAUGACGGUACCGCAGAAGAGCCCGGCUAACUUCGUGCCAGCAGCCGAC